GUCUUUUUGUUUAUAAUUUAAAGUCUAACCUGCCCAAUGAGUAAUUAAAUGGCCGCAGUAUUUUGACUGUGCAAAGGUAGCAUAAUCAUUAGUUUCUUAAUUAGAAGCUGGUAUGAAAGGUUGAACGAGAAAAUAACUGUCUCUUUAUAAUUUUUUUUGAAUUUUAUUUUUAAGUUAAAAAGCUUAAAUAUAUUUAAAAGACGAGAAGACCCUAUAGAGUUUUAUAUAAAAAAAGUUAGUAAUAGAUUUUGUAUUAGUUAAGUUUUAAAAUUUUUUAUAUUUAGUUGGGGUGAUAGGAAAAUUUAAGUAACUUUUUUUAUAUAAAAACAUUUAUUUAUGAAUUUUUGAUCCAUUAUUUAUGAUUAAAAGAUUAAAUUACCUUAGGGAUAACAGCGUAAUUUCUUUGUAGAGUUCUAAUCGAUAAAGAAGUUUGCGACCUCGAUGUUGGAUUAAAAUAUAAAUUUGGUGUAGAAGCUGAGUGUUUAGGUCUGUUCGACCUUUAAUAUUUUACAUGAUCUGAGUUUAAACCGGUGUAAGCCAGGUUGGUUUCUAUCUUUAAAAUGUGAAAAAUAUUUUAGUACGAAAGGACCAAAUAUUUAUAAUAUUUAUUUUUAUAAGGAUAUUAAUAAAUUAUUAUUUUGGCAGAUUAGUGCAUUAAAUUUAGAAUUUAAUUAUGUAAUAAAAUUACAAAUAAUACUUGAUUGUUAAAGAUAUAAUUUUGAUAUUAGUAAGAAGUUUAAUUUUAGUUAUUAGAGUAUUAGUAGGAGUGGCUUUUUUAACUUUAUUAGAGCGUAAAGUUUU
rnacentral:rRNA from 1 species